rnacentral:rRNA from 1 species
GAUGAACGCUAGCGGGAGGCCUAACACAUGCAAGCCGAGCGGUAUAGUUUCUUCGGAAACUAGAGAGCGGCGUACGGGUGCGUAACACGUGUGCAACCUACCUUUAUCAGGGGAAUAGCCUUUCGAAAGGAAGAUUAAUACUCCAUAAUAUAUUAGAUGGCAUCAUUUAGUAUUGAAAACUCCGGUGGAUAGAGAUGGGCACGCGUAAGAUUAGAUAGUUGGUGAGGUAACGGCUCACCAAGUCAAUGAUCUUUAGGGGUCCUGAGAGGGAGAUCCCCCACACUGGUACUGAGACACGGACCAGACUCCUACGGGAGGCAGCAGUGAGGAAUAUUGGACAAUGGGUGAGAGCCUGAUCCAGCCAUCCCGCGUGAAGGAUGACGGUCCUAUGGAUUGUAAACUUCUUUUGUAUAGGAAUAAACCUACCCUCGUGAGGGUAGCUGAAGGUACUAUACGAAUAAGCACCGGCUAACUCCGUGCCAGCAGCCGCGGUAAUACGGAGGGUGCAAGCGUUAUCCGGAUUUAUUGGGUUUAAAGGGUCCGUAAGCGGACCGAUAAGUCAGUGGUGAAAUCUCAUAGCUUAACUAUGAAACUGCCGUUGAUACUGUCGGCCUUGAGUAAAUUAGAGGUAGCUGGAAUAAGUAGUGUAGCGGUGAAAUGCAUAGAUAUUACUUAGAACACCAAUUGCGAAGGCAGGUUACCAUGAUUUAACUGACGCUGAGGGACGAAAGCGUGGGGAGCGAACAGGAUUAGAUACCCUGGUAGUCCACGCCGUAAACGAUGCUAACUCGUUUUUGGGGCGCAAGCUUCAGAGACCAAGCGAAAGUGAUAAGUUAGCCACCUGGGGAGUACGUUCGCAAGAAUGAAACUCAAAGGAAUUGACGGGGGCCCGCACAAGCGGUGGAUUAUGUGGUUUAAUUCGAUGAUACGCGAGGAACCUUACCAAGACUUAAAUGGGAAAUGACAGGUUUAGAAAUAGAUCCUUCUUCGGACAUUUUUCAAGGUGCUGCAUGGUUGUCGUCAGCUCGUGCCGUGAGGUGUUAGGUUAAGUCCUGCAACGAGCGCAACCCCUGUCACUAGUUGCUAACAUUCAGUUGAGGACUCUAGUGAGACUGCCUACGCAAGUAGAGAGGAAGGUGGGGAUGACGUCAAAUCAUCACGGCCCUUACGUCUUGGGCCACACACGUAAUACAAUGGCCGGUACAGAGGGCAGCUACACAGCGAUGUGAUGCAAAUCUCGAAAGCCGGUCUCAGUUCGGAUUGGAGUCUGCAACUCGACUCUAUGAAGCUGGAAUCGCUAGUAAUCGCGCAUCAGCCAUGGCGCGGUGAAUACGUUCCCGGGCCU